UACGAAGGGGGCUAGCGUUGUUCGGAAUCACUGGGCGUAAAGCGCACGUAGGCGGAUCUUUAAGUCAGGGGUGAAAUCCCGAGGCUCAACCUCGGAACUGCCUUUGAUACUGGGGAUCUCGAGUCCGGGAGAGGUGAGUGGAACUGCGAGUGUAGAGGUGAAAUUCGUAGAUAUUCGCAAGAACACCAGUGGCGAAGGCGGCUCACUGGCCCGGAACUGACGCUGAGAUACGAAAGCGUGGGUAGCAAACAGG
rnacentral:rRNA from 1 species